rnacentral:rRNA from 1 species
UACAGAGGUCUCAAGCGUUUGUUCGGAUUCAUUGGGCGUAAAGGGUGCGUAGGCGGCGCGGUAAGUCGGGUGUGAAAUCUCGGAGCUUAACUCCGAAACUGCAUUCGAUACUGCCGUGCUUGAGGACUGGAGAGGAGACUGGAAUUUACGGUGUAGCGGUGAAAUGCGUAGAUAUCGGGAGGAACAUCAGUGGCGAAGGCGGCCCUCUGGUCCAGUACUGACACUCAAGUGCGGAAAGCGUGGGGAGCAAACAGG